CCCACAUGCACACAACGUCUCUCACAGGUGAACACAACCUCUCACCCACGUGCACACAACGUCUCUCACAGGUGAACACAACCUCUCACCCACAUGCACACAACGUCUCUCACAGGUGAACACAACCUCUCACCCACAUGCACACAACGUCUCUCACAUGUGAACACAACCUCUCACCCACAUGCACACAACGUCUCUCACAGGUGAACACAACCUCUCACCCACAUGCACACAACGUCUCUCACAGGUGAACACAACCUCUCACCCACAUGCACACAACGUCUCUCACAGGUGAACACAACCUCUCACCCACGUGCACACAAGCCGGCUGAUAACAGAUGGGCGUUCAUACAAGGUAUUGAAGUCGGCCAGUCUGAGCUGGGAGCGAUGAGGAUAUCGUCAGUAGAGCGAUGAGGAUGUCGUCAAGUAGUCGAGGAAAGGUUCAUCAGCUACGGCAGCUUCCAAGGUUACGUUCCAAAAGAGCUGGAGUUAGUGUUACCUGGGGAAAACCAUCUCUCAGAAUGGCGGGGCCAGGAGCUAUGACUUGACCUUCUGAAAACACAACUCUGCAAGUACAACAAGGAGGAUAUACAGGUUACCUACCUCGGUGGGAUAUGGCCGGUUUGUUGAAAAAAUAAAGCUUCAGAUAUGGAA